rnacentral:rRNA from 1 species
GACAGAGGUGCCGAGCGUUAGGCGGAAUCACUGGGCUUAAAGCGUGUGUAGGCGGGUCGUUAAGUACCUUGUGAAAUCCCCCGGCUCAACCGGGGAACGGCUGGGUAUACUGGCGAUCUUGAGCCACCUAGGGGCAGUCGGAACAAGUGGUGGAGCGGUGAAUGCGUAGAUAUCACUUGGAACGCCAAUGGUGAAAACAGACUGCUGGGGGUGUGCUGACGCUGGAGACACGGAAAGCCAGGGGAGCAAACGGG